GACGAGCGCUGGCGGCGUGCUUAACACAUGCAAGUCGAACGGAAAGGCCCUGCUUUUGUGGGGUGCUCGAGUGGCGAACGGGUGAGUAACACGUGAGUAACCUGCCCUUGACUUUGGGAUAACUUCAGGAAACUGGGGCUAAUACCGGAUAGGAGCUCCUGCCGCAUGGUGGGGGUUGGAAAGUUUCGGCGGUUGGGGAUGGACUCGCGGCUUAUCAGCUUGUUGGUGGGGUAGUGGCUUACCAAGGCUUUGACGGGUAGCCGGCCUGAGAGGGUGACCGGCCACAUUGGGACUGAGAUACGGCCCAGACUCCUACGGGAGGCAGCAGUGGGGAAUAUUGCACAAUGGGCGGAAGCCUGAUGCAGCAACGCCGCGUGCGGGAUGACGGCCUUCGGGUUGUAAACCGCUUUCGCCUGUGACGAAGCGUGAGUGACGGUAAUGGGUAAAGAAGCACCGGCUAACUACGUG
rnacentral:rRNA from 1 species